AUGGUUGGACGAAAUAUUAACUGUUUCAUUUAAAAUUAAAAUAGAAUUUUAUUUUUUAGUCAAAAAGCUAAAAUAAAUUUAAAAGACGAGAAGACCCUAUAAAUCUUUAUAUUUUGUUUAUUUUAAUUAUAAAGAUUAAUUUAAUUUUAAUAAAUUAAAAUAUUUUAUUGGGGUGAUAUUAAAAUUUAAAAAACUUUUAAUUUUUAAAAACAUUAAUUUAUGAAUAAUUGAUCCAUUAAUAAUGAUUAAAAAAUUAAGUUACUUUAGGGAUAACAGCGUAAUUUUUUUGGAGAGUUCAUAUCGAUAAAAAAGAUUGCGACCUCGAUGUUGGAUUAAGAUAUAAUUUUGGGUGUAGCCGUUCAAAUUUUAAGUCUGUUCGACUUUUAAAUUCUUACAUGAUCUGAGUUCAAACCGGUGUAAGCCAGGUUGGUUUCUAUCUUUAAAAAUUUGUAAUAUUUUAGUACGAAAGGACCAAAUAUUAAAAUAAUUAUAUUUAAAAUAAUGAAUAUUAUUAAUAU
rnacentral:rRNA from 1 species